ensembl:lncRNA SHANK2-AS2 SHANK2 antisense RNA 2
GCCCCCUCAAACCCAGGACAUUCAGUGUAAAUGACUGUGAGCCUCAGGCUGGAAAGAUCGUUUCCCUUCCCAGCUAGAAAGACUCAUCCAUCAGGCUGUGUCAGACGCACCUGAGCCCUCCAGGGUGGUCAAAGAAUCUGCAUCACAGAAGAUAUCCAGUUGGGCAAGACCCCGCCUCCCUGACAGGUGGCACAGGAGGGUGGUUGGAGCAGGAGGGUGGGAAGUGAUACGUGGAUCUUGGAAGAACAGCCUGGCUCUACCACUCGCCGUGUGUCUGUGGGUAUGUGAGUCCCCACUCUGUGCUGUGGCCUCCUCAUGCAGAGAAAGGAGCUGAUAAAAGUCACCGAGUUAAACUU